GGAGGUACGAGGAGAGGAAAACCCAGGAAAAGGUGAAUGGACUGUGUGAGAGAUGAUAUGAAGCGAACGCAAGUGAAUGAUGAGAUGACGGGUGACAGAGAGGUAUGGAAGGAAAAGACAUGCUGCGCCGACCCCAAGUGAAUGGGACAAGGGCAAGCGAAUGAUGAUACCUGUUAGUCUCCGUCAUUUCUGAACCGAUUUGGAUUUUUUUUUUUGUUUGAAUUAUUUAUACAUACAGAUUGGUCCCGUUUUUAUCAAAACGCAGUUCUGAUGACGGGAUCCAUGAGGAAUCGAGGGAACUCCUCAAAUAUUAAAGGCAUACAUAUAGUGAUUUUAGUAUUUUCAUUAACAAAUCAAGCAUUUACAUUUUAAAAGGUGACAUUUGAGGAAGUGGAACUGCUGAUGAUGAUCAGAAUGGAACUCUUCAACGACAC